AGAUCAAAAUUGGCCCCUGAAAUCGAUGAAGAUCGUUUGGUUCGGUCAUCAUGUAAUCAUGACUCAAGUUGGCGAACAAAUCCAAUUUUCGGUGACUAUCAAAUUUUUCUUUUUCAGAGUCCAUUAUACUUGAUGUAUGACAAUGUAUGGAAUUCGGAUUAAUAUGUGAAAACAUGGUCAAUGAGCAUAAAAUUUUCAUUGAUGAUCAAUGAUCAUUAGAAUCAUAUAAUUGGUGCCUUCUUUAUAAAAACGAUCAUGGUAAUGAUGCCGAACAGUACAAAUUUGUUGGUGGAUAUCUGGUCGCUAACAUGGUACAAUGUCCAAUGAAAAACAUCAUGUUCAUCAUCAGUCUAUUCAGAACAUGCCUGCUUUUGAUUGAAUUGUCGGAACAACUUAUCCGGUAAGUCGACAUAUUCAUUCUUCAUAUUUAAUAAAGAUUGGUCUAUCUUUUUUUAUUAGGUUCGUUCCUGAAAUUUUACAAUCAUCAAAUUGAAAUUCGAUUGAUGAUUAUGUUCGAGAUCAAUUCGGCGGUUCCAUUGUUCAUCAGCAUCCAAUUCAAGAAUAGUUUGACCAUGUUCAACACAUGAUAUCAGGUUAGGCUAGGGUUAGAUUAGGCUUAGGAACAUGGUCUGAUUAUUUCCUAUUGAAUUUGAUGCUGAUUUAAUCUUUUGAAUCAAUGAAGCGAUCGAAAACAUGAUUAUAAGUCGAAGAUUCAUGGGAUGGAACACAUAUAUGAAAAUGAUCAUGGAUCGCCGGCGAACAAUUGGGAAAUUGAAUCUCGAACCACGGAUAGAAUUUGGACAUUGUCUUGGAACAUGGACCGCGAUUAUGGAUUUAUUUAUGUCAAACGGGACAAUUAACGUUUUAUGGCGCAAUUUGGAUGUGAAAUAUGCAUGUAUUUUAUUAUUUAAAAUUU